GCUCUGGGGGAGGCUGCGUGCUAAUGGGUGGGGCUGUGGGGCGGGGAAGUCGCUGAGGGCUUUGGAGUCUCCGGCGCCUAGUCCACUGUCCUCGGCGUUGGGACUCCUCAGCCCGCAGAGCUUGCGACGCGGGACCGGGGAGAGAUAGGCGGGACGGGCGCUCCCUCUCCCAACCCCGUCGCCCCCACGAAGCUGUCGCGAAGCCCGCCCGCUUGUGGCUUGUUGACCACGCCACUCUCCUAAAAAUGCUCUUCCUCAGCUGUGCUACCUUUGCCCUGACCUUUGCCCUGAGAAAGGAGGGCGGUUACCCGAGUCCCUUAAAAAUGGAGCAAAACGGGAGAAAAUCGAGAGACAGGAAGUUAAAAGCUGUUGAAAACUGGUUUGUUUGCAGUGUGAAUUAAGUUUAACUAUUCUGCCCCUUUGAGACCAGAGACGGUGGACAGAUAGUCUUCUUCCUCUCUCCUUGUCCCCUUCACUCCGCCCAGGAAUUUAGAGGUAAAUGUGAUUUAAAGUGCUAGACAGAUGCAAGCACGCCUGGGGAAGAGUUAGAGAUGGUGGAAGAAAGUGACAACGUCUGGAAAAGCACACUCCUAAACUUGUGACACAAAUUGUCACCGGGAAAGACACGUCCUGAACCUUCUCCCCAGUCACUCCACCAAGUGGUCUGCCCAGGCGGAUGCAGAUAGAACAGCCGCACGCACUUGAGCGUGUGGCUGCGCUGUUUCCCCUGUAGUCCGCAACCGGUGAUUUCCAGCAGUUCUGUUCUUGUAACUCACCAGCCCAGGGAGCAAACUCAAGUUUUUUGAAAAUUCAUUUGUAGAGCUAGUCAUGUCAGCAGCAGAUGGAUGUUUUCAGGGACAUAAUCUGUGACUGAUUAUGUUUACAACUUUCUGCCUUGAUCUAAACUCUAGAAAGUGGCCUCUACUGUAGCAUAGCAGUCAGGUACAAUUGUUAGGAUCCUUGUCACUAAAGACAGCAAGGAAAAGCUAUCACGUUCCAUCUAGAAGUUCAAUCUGUAGUGAUAAAAAUAAUGUGUUACUCUGUGCUAGCACUGCUGUAAGUAUCUUGCAUGUAUUAACUCAUUUAUAGGUUUUUACAAAAACUAAUUUAUAGGUUUUUGUAGAAAUACUGGCAUUUGUGUACAAAGAGAUGUAAAUGUUUAUUUCAGCCUUGUCUAUAAUAGGAAAAAAUAAGUCCAAACCACCUAAGUGUCUAUCAAUACAGGCUGAUUAAGCUUGAGAUACCAAAAUACUAUAGUUAAUUAUGUUAUUGUUUGAAAGAUUGAAUAUGAUAGAAUAUAUUGAAUUAUUAAUAAUAAAAUAUAUUGGUACACUUCCAGGUACUAUGGCUGCAUUGCAAAUUACGCCCACAAGGUAGUGGUAAAAAGCAGCCAUUUAUUAUGCUGACAGAUUCUGUGCGUCAGGAAUUGAGAUAGCACAGCAGGUAUGACUUUUUUUCUGCUCCCUUAUGCAUAGGGCCUCAACUGGAAGGCUGAAGAUGGGAAUCCUCUGAAAAUUUUUCACUUUCAUGUUGGUGAUUGAUACUGGCUGGAGGCUGCAGGCUGGAGACCUCAGCUCAACUCCCUGUAGACCUCUGCAGGUGGUCUCUUAAUGUGGACUUGGUUGGGCUCCUCACAGCAUGAGGGUUAGGUUCUAAGGAUGAAAGAAAGGGGAUACAUCGAAUUUGAGGUCUAUAGAAUUUAAUCAAAGGAUGAAUAUAAGGAUGUUGUUUUACCACCUGCAAUCCUGGAACACUACGAGAUUCCCAGAGAGAGAGAGAGAGCACAAGCUGGGGAGAGGCAGAAAGAGAAGGUGAGA